GCUCACUCGCUCCUAACUCGACCCCUCAACAUCCUAUUUGGGACGCCAGGGCCUAGCACAUGCGCUGGACGUCCAAGGCCCACAAGCCUUGUGCCCGCGCAGCUGCGCAGCGCGUUGAGGGGUUCUUGUGUUUAACGGGUUCCUUCGCUGCCGUUACAGAGACGUUGGGACGAGACGGGCGGUGAAUAGCCCACAUAGCCCUCUGUAGCCUCCGCAAUGAAAAGUAUUUUCACCUGGGCGGGUAAGAAGCACAGGUGGCUCUUGAGGGGCUCCGUCGGAUGUGAAAAUAGUUUAGGGCUUCAGUCCCAGUUGGGCUAUCACAUCCGAGACAAGGAUCUCGGGCAGAUCCACAAAGCCGCUUGCGCUGGCGACGUAGCCAGGGUGCAGCAGCUGCUGGCGCUGGGGAAGAGCAGAGUAAACGCCAGGGACAAGAAGAACAGGACCCCUCUGCAUUUAGCCUGUGUGAGUGGCCAUCCAGAAGUUGUAACUCUGCUAAUAGAGAGAAAUUGCAUGAUUAAUGCCACUGAUGAUGGAAACAUGACAGCUCUGAUGAAGGCCAUACAAUGCCACCAAGAGGAGUGUGCUACUAUCUUACUAGAACAUGAUGCUGAUCCAAACCAUAUGGAUGAAAAUGGCAACACUGCCCUCCACUAUGCUGCAUUUAUUGAGAAUUUAGAAAUUGCAAAAAAAUUGAUUUCACACAAUGCAGACAUGGAAGGAAGAAAUAAGGAUGGCCUCACACCACUUCUAGUUGCAAUGCAUGAAGAGAAAGAGAAAAUGGUGGAAUUUCUAAUAAUGAAUAAAGCAAAUGUUCAUGUAGUUGAUAAUAUGAAUAGAACAUCACUCAUGUUUGCUGCUCAGUACAGAUCAUCCAAGAUACUCAGCCUUCUUCUUCAACAAGGGGUUGAUGCAUUUUGUGAAGAUAGCUGUGGGUUUACAGCAGAAAAGUAUGCUCGUCUUAAAUUUAAUACAAAAAAUCAUCUGAUAAUUUUAGAUUAUAUGGAAAGAAUGAAACAAAAAGGGCAUGAAGAGAGAAACCUAGGAGGUGAGAGUUCAAAAGACUAUACAAGCAGGCUUUGCAGGAAAACUGUUCAUGAUGAUAUGGAAGACUUAUAUUUACUUGCCAAGAAAUACCUGUCAGCAGGUUUAAGCAGUGAAAAUGAUAUUUCUGUCUCUCAAAAUGUGCCAGAAGAGCAAGACAGAGUAAUUUGUAUGAACACACAAGAAUUCCACAAAGCUAAUAAAUGUGGGAGUUAUAAGGAAAGAAAACCAAUACAGGACAUGCCAAAGAAGCCAUUGUAUGGUGAUUUCAGUACUAAUAGUUAUCAAAGCAUGACACCUGAAUUAGAACGUGUCAGUUCUUCAUCACAUUACAGCAAAGAAAGAAUAUCCAAGGAAGAUUACAGAAGUGAAAAUAACCAGCCACAGGUAUUUGUGAGACACCAUCAACAUCAAGUGGAUGAUACUGAAGAAAGUCAUUCCAUAUCUCAGGUUUCACUGGAUGUUAUAACAAGUUAUUGCCUUAACUUAAAUGGUGAGAUACAGAAUAUGAAGAAGCAAUUAAGAGAAAUUGGAAGACAAUUCCAAGAAGCAGAAGAUGGACAGAAAGAGGUGGCAGAAUAUGCUGAAAAGAUGGAAGAUCGUCUGCAAAAGCUUGAACAGGAAAACUUUAUGUUGCAAGAUACAGUAAAAAAGCAAGCAGUGAAAAUUGAACAGCUGCAGAAAAACCUGUUCAACCCAAGUUCAAAAGACACAUUACAUCCAGCAAGUGGUAAGAGUGAGAAUAUUAAUACUAUCCAAAGUGCUCCAGGAGACCAAGCUACUAUACAAGAAUUAAAUUCUGUUCAUAGACUCCUCAAAGCUGAUACAAGUGGAUCAGAAGAUGAAGCUAUAGAAUCACCGUGUGAUUCUGAGGUACUGUCUCUUGUUAUGAUUUGUAAAUGUAAGGGUUGCAUGAUAUUAAAAUGUAGAAAUGGUACAUUUUUUCUUUUUCUACUUUUUAAAAGUUAUUUGAGAGGCAGAGUGACAGAGAAAGAAGACAGAGAGAGGUCUCAUGUAGCGGUUCAUACCUCAAAUUACUACAAUGAUUAGUGUAGGGCCAAGUUAAAGCCAGGAUACAGGAGCUUGAAACUCAUUCCAGCUCCCCUUAUGGGUUGUAGAGACACAAGUUCUGGAGCUGCCUUCCUAAGUCCACUUGAGCAGGAUUCUGUAAUCAGGAGCAGGAUCCAGGAAUGGAACCCAGAACUCUCAUGUUGAGUGCAGUUGUCCAACCUGGCAUGUGAGAUGCUAGGGCAAAUAACCUUUGAAGGGGAAGCUUUGACUUGUUUAUCCCAUCUGUGUAGGGCUGUUAGGAAUUGUAUCCUUACAUUUCAUAAGAUAAUUAGUAAUGCAUUAAUGUUGUAAGUUUUGUCCUCUUGCAACAAUGCAGUCCUACUAAUUUAAAUGAGUCAUUUAAUGUAGCCAGUGUAGCAUCAUGCACAAAAGGCCCUAGUUGGUACAAGGAAUCACUUCAGCUUUUAAAAUUGAGUUUGCCUAAAAAGUAAAGAGUUAUUCCAGCUCAACCAAUGCCAAAUGAAUGAUUCUAUGUUGUUUAUAGAUGCCUUGUCAAUUGAAUGAGAUUUUGAGAGGAACACUAUUGAAUAUACUGUUUUUACAACUUGAAAUUUGAUAAGACAAUACCUGACAUUUCAAAGCAUUAUUACUGUGUGUAGAAUGCUGACUAUAAAUCUGCAAGAAAUAUUUAAGUACAAGGAUAAGCGUGGGUAUUGUUAAAUAUGUGGGAGUAAAAGAAAAACUCUGUUCUCCUGAUGUUGUACUAAGUAGAAACCAUUUUUGAAAAUAACAUGAUAUAGAACCUUUAUAGCAGCUUGUUAGUGUAAUGUUAAGUAUAAAAUACAGAUAUUUUUCUAUGGUGACACCUGGAAAGGAGAUUGGAAACAUCUGAAUUCUUGAAUACAAGUAGGUGCUGAAUAGUGGUAUUUUUUAAACUUUUAUUUAAUGAAUAUAAAUUUCCAAAGUACGGCUUAUGGAUUACAAUGGCUUCCACCCAUACCGUCCCUCCCACCCGCAACCCUCCCCUUUCCCACUCCCUCUCCCCUUCCAUUCACAUCAAGAUUCAUUUUUGUUUCUCUUUAUAUACAGAAGAUCAGUUUAGUAUACAUUAAGUAAAGAUUUUAACAGUUUGCUCCCACACAGAAACAUAAAGUGAAAAAUAAUAGAUGAUUUUUUAAAUGAUGAUGAAAUCAGAUCAGACCUAUUGUCAUGUUUAAUCCCAGUGAGAGUCAAGUUGGGAAUUGAUAAUUUCUUUUUCCUUUUUUUUUUUUUUACAGAGGAUCAGUUUAGUAUACAUUAAGUAAAGAUUUCAACAGUUUGCACCCCCAUAGCAACACAAAGUGAAAAAUACUGUUUGAGUACUAGUUAUAGCAUUAAAUCUCAAUGUACAGCACAUUAAGGACAGAGAUCCUACAUGAGGAGUAAGUGCACAGUGACUCCUGUUGUUGACUUUACCAAUUGACACUCUUGUUUAUGGCAUCAGUAAUCUCCCUAUGCUCCAGUCAUGAGUUUCCAAGGCUAUGGAAGACUUUUGAGUUCUCCGACUCUUAUCUUGUUUAGACAAGGUCAUAGUCAAAGUGGAGGUUCUGUCCUCCCUUCAGAGAAAGGUACCUCCUUCUUUGAAGACCUGUUCUUUCCACUGGGAUCUCACUCACAGAGAUCUUUUGCCAGAGUGUCUUGGCUUUCCAUGCCUGAAAUACUCUCAUGGGCUUUUCAGCCAGAUCCGAAUGCCUUUAUGGCUGAUUCUGAGGCCAGAGUGCUAUUUAGGAAUUCCGCCAUUCUAUGAGUCUUCUGAGUAUCUCACUUCCCAUGUUGGAUCACUCUCCCCUUUAUUUAUUCUAUCGGUUAGUGUUAGCAGGUACUAGACUUAUUUAAGUGCUCCCUUUGACUCUUAGUCCUUUCAUUAUGAUCAGUUGUGAACUGAAAUUGAUCACUUGGAAUAGUGAGAUGGCAUUGGUACAUGCCACCUUGAUGGGAUUGAAUUGGAAUCCCCUGGUAUGUUUCUAACUCUACCAUUUGGGGCAAGUCAGCUUGAGCAUGUCCCAAAUUGUACAUCUCUUCCCUCUCUUAUUCCCACUCUUAUGUUUAACAGGGAUCACAUUUCAGUUAAUUUUCAACACUUAAGAAUAACUGUGUGAUAAUUACAGAAUUAAACCAGUCAUAUUAAGUAGAAC